CUCUCUUUUAUCAUUAUUUAUAUCCACGGUUUAACAUUAACUAAUUUAAUAUCAAUUAAAUAAAGGGAACCAAGAGCCAGUCAUGAUUGACCCUGUUUGCCGCCUUUCCCACAAGGAUCAGCUCAGCCAUUUCUCUCUAAGAAAUGUGUCUAAAAACGUAAUUUCCUUCUGAAAAAAAAUGUAUUCACAAUAACAGGGACUGCAAGGAUUGCGAGAUCCCCAAGAAAGAAGUGUACACCCUGCUGAAAUUCAAAGCUGAAGUUGCCUUUGCAACGAGAGGAAAGUCUUGAAAAAGAGGGGGAGACCAUCUCAUAAUGUUGACAGAAACCUGGCUGAGAAGAAGCACAGAGGUUCUUCCUCAUCAGUGCCAUAAACACCUGUGCAUCAAGACCACACUUACCAUUGGCCUGUGCGGGUGGAGAAAAAGGGCCGGUGCAAAUACCAUGGCUGUAAGGGUGAAAGUGCAGUGAUCAAAGUGUGUCACGUACCUGUGCUUCACUCCUGACAAUAACUGCUUCAUGAACUUCCACAAGCACUGAGUCUAUUUUGUCAAAUGGCUCAAUAAAGUUUGCUGAAAGAU